GACGAACGCUGGCGGCGUGCUUAACACAUGCAAGUCGUACGGUAAGGCCCUUCGGGGUACACGAGUGGCGAACGGGAGAGUAACACGUGGGUGAUCUGCCCUGCACUUCGGGAUAAGCCUGGGAAACUGGGUCUAAUACCGGAUAGGACCACUGCCUGCAUGGGUGGUGGUGGAAAGCUUUUGCGGUGUGGGAUGGGCCCGCGGCCUAUCAGCUUGUUGGUGGGGUGAUGGCCUACCAAGGCGACGACGGGUAGCCGGCCUGAGAGGGUGACCGGCCACACUGGGACUGAGAUACGGCCCAGACUCCUACGGGAGGCAGCAGUGGGGAAUAUUGCACAAUGGGCGCAAGCCUGAUGCAGCGACGCCGCGUGAGGGAUGACGGCCUUCGGGUUGUAAACCUCUUUCAGCACCGACGAAGCGCAAGUGACGGUAGGUGCAGAAGAAGGACCGGCCAACUACGUGCCAGCCGCCGCAGUAA
rnacentral:rRNA from 1 species